AUGCUUCUCUCCAGCCUUCUGAAGGUGGUCAUGGCUUCGUUGUGGCUAGGACCCAGUAUUGCCCAGAAGGUAACUCAAAACCAACCAGUAAUAUUAGUGCAGGAGAAGGAGGUUGUGACCCUGGACUGCAUAUAUGACACAAGUGAUUUCAGUUAUAGUCUAUUCUGGUACAAGCAGCCCAGCAGUGGGGCGAUGAUUCUCCUUAUUCGUCAGGACUCUUAUAACCAGCAAAAUGCCACAGAAGGUCGCUACUCACUGAAUUUCCAGAAGGCAAACAAAUCCAUCAAACUUGCCAUCUCAGCUUCACAGCUGGAGGACUCUGCAGUGUAUUUCUGUGCGCUGAGUUCAUCUGGAGGAAAGCUUAUCUUCGGACAGGGAACCGAGUUAUCUGUGAAGCCCAAUAUCCAGAACCCCGACCCUGCCGUGUACCAGCUGAGAAGCCCCAAAUCCAGCAACACCUCCGUCUGCUUAUACACCGAUUUUGAAUCUCAAGCCAAUGAGUCACAAGUCACGAGGCCCGUGGUGUACAGCUCAGACAGCACCGUGCUGGACAUGGGAGCCGUGGGUUCCAAGAGCAACGGGGUCGUGGCUUGGGGCAGCAGCGCCGAUUUGGGAUGCACAGACACCUUCAACCAGACCUUCUACUCUAGCUUAGAAAUUCCCUGUGAUACCAAGAUAGUAGAGAAAAGCUUUGAAACAGAUAUGAACCUAAACUUCCAAAACUUGUCAGUGAUCGGGUUCCGCGUCCUCCUCCUGAAAGUGGUCGGGUACAACCUGCUCAUGACGCUGCGGCUGUGGUCCAGCUGAGGUCUCCAAGAACGUGAGAGCCCCGUGCUCCCUCUCCCCUUGUUCCUUGUCGCCCCUCCGCUCCCUCUUCAAGCAGAGAGGUGCACUCUCUGCCCCCGUGGACAAGAAGGCUCCCUCCACCUCUCUGGCCCCACUGGCGAUACCACCAACUGGAUCCUACCAGAUAUUCGUGAUCAAGAUGCUGAAGAGCUGCCCAGCACUGCCGCCACCCCCUCUGUUCCCUCACUGCUGCUUGUCACUGCCUGGCAUUCUCAGCAAAGACGGAGGCCGCUGCAGCCUCUCCUGGCUGUGGGGAAACUCCCUCCCCACCCCGCCCCUCCCAGAGACUGCCUCUGAUGUCCCACUGAAGGAUGGAUCCCAGUGGGUUCUCUUGGGCUCUAGCUCCUGGAGAAUGUUGUGUGCUGUUUAUAUUUUUUACAUAGUGUUCAUAAAGAAAUACAUAUCACCCUUUUUCCCAAGAUGUGGGGGAGAUUAUCUCAUGAUCUAGGCCCUGCUCUGCUUGUGUAUCUGAACCACGUUGUAUAUUCUGCU